UGAGGAAUCUUGCGCAAUGGGGGAAACCCUGACGCAGCAACGCCGCGUGAGUGAGGAAGGUCUUCGGAUCGUAAAGCUCUGUCAGUUGGGAAGAAACGCCUGAGGGUUAAUACCCUUCAGGCCUGACGGUACCAACAGAGGAAGCACCGGCUAACUCCGUGCCAGCAGCCGCGGUAAUACGGGGGGUGCAAGCGUUGUUCGGAAUUAUUGGGCGUAAAGAGCGUGUAGGCGGCCGGAUGUGUCAGAUGUGAAAGCCCUGGGCUUAACCCAGGAAGUGCAUUUGAAACUGUCCGGCUUGAGUAGGGGAGAGGGAAGUGGAAUUCCUGGUGUAGAGGUGAAAUUCGUAGAUAUCAGGAGGAACACCGGUGGCGAAGGCGACUUCCUGGCCCUAUACUGACGCUGAGACGCGAGAGCGUGGGUAGCAAACA
rnacentral:rRNA from 1 species